UGGCGGCAGGCUUAACACAUGCAAGUCGAGCGGUAGCAGAUCUAGCUUGCUAGAUGCUGACGAGCGGCGGACGGGUGAGUAACGCGUAGGAACCUGCCCAGUAGUGGGGGAUAGGCCCGGGGAAACUCGGAUUAAUACCGCAUACGCUCUACGGAGGAAAGGAGGGGGCUUCGGCUCUCGCUAUUGGAUGGGCCUGCGUGAGAUUAGCUAGUUGGUGAGGUAAUGGCUCACCAAGGCGACGAUCUCUAGCUGGUCUGAGAGGGUGAUCAGCCACACUGGGACUGAGACACGGCCCAGACUCCUACGGGAGGCAGCAGUGGGGAAUAUUGCACAAUGGGCGCAAGCCUGAUGCAGCCAUGCCGCGUGUGUGAAGAAGGCUUUCGGGUUGUAAAGCACUUUCAGUGGGGAGGAAGGCCUCGUAGUUAAUAGCUGCGAGGAUUGACGUUACCCACAGAAGAAGCACCGGCUAACUCCGUG
rnacentral:rRNA from 1 species